GUGAAUUCUGAAGCUUGGGUGUAUGAAGUGGUACAGACUUUGCCUUUUGUUUUUGCCUUGGAACUCAGCCAUCAUAACGGGAGGAGGCCCAAACAGCCUGUGAUGAGUGAGGUGCAAGUGGAAAGGAACUGUGGCCGCCAGCCCUCAGCCUUAGCCAAACUCCCAGCUGCCAGCCAGCAGGAACCUGCCAGCCAUAAGUGAGCCAUCUUGAAAGCGCAUCCUUCAGCCCCAGUCAAGCCAUCUCAGCUGGCGCUGUGUGGCACAAAGAUGAACCAUCCUUGUUCAUCCCUACCUACAAUGCAGCAAAACUACAGUGCGUUGUUCCCAGGUUCACCUCUGGGAUGAGAUCUGGACGAGAAUAAUCAUGCCUGCCCCUUCACCUCUGGCUGCACUCUGAGAAGUGCCAAGAAGGUCAUAUCAAAGACCCAGAGGGGAGAGAUGGAGCUAAGUGGUUCCAAACAUUUAGAGCAUGGAAUUGAGCUACUUUUUCAAAAUGGAGAAUGCAGGUUUGAACUCUACCUGGGAUGAGUGACAAUGGGAACAUCUGGGUUUUUUUUCAGAGAAGAAUCCACCCUUAUGGUGUUGUGGCCCUUUGGGCUUACUAAGACGGUCAUACAACCCCAAAGCGAGUACACAUCCCCAAAUCCAGGCUGUUCAGCUUUAUAAAUGUCAACUAUGGGGCAUCAAUAGCCCAACCCAGAGGCACACUGGAAAUGCAAUAGAACAACGGCUGCCAAUUUAAAAGCAGAAGUUAAGAAGAGCAAACCCAAAUGUACAGCGAGAGAGCUUCGGGCUGGAUCGGCUCCCGGCAGAAGCGAGACUGGAAAUCUUGGAUUCUGUUGCCUCUUCUCUCCUCUGUGAUGUGGAAGAAGAUGUCAGCACCUGGGUGUGGACUUGGUCAUUAACGCUUAUUUCCCAACCUUUGCCAAGCUGCCUAACUCCCUGGAGUCUUAGUUUUCUCAUGUGUGGGAGACAAUGUGUUCUUUAUCCUGAAGUCAUUGUGAGGACUGAGUGAGAGGAUGUAUGUGGAAGGAAGCACCAAGCGUGGUUCCUGGUAUAUACUAGGUACUCAAUAAAUGUGGACUAGCGUGAAUAUGAACUCCACUCACUUCGUGCCCCCUCAUGCUGGCUGGUCCCCGGUGCUCUGGGCUUCCCAAGUCAUGGCAGUUUUCCCAAAGUGGCCCCUAAAGUCAUGUCAGUCCUUGGGGCCUCAUUACUUAGGUUUCCUGUGCCAUCUGCUCCCUUCCAGUCAUAGAUUCCAUGCUCCGUUCUGACAGAAGCUUGCUUCUGCUGGCUGUCACACUUAAAAAGUGGCGGAUGACCAUUCGAGCGUUAGAUGAUAAUGAUUUAUGAACACCAUCCCUCCAGACAGCAUUUGCAGUAUUACAAGUUUUGCUUUUAUUUUAUUUGUCACUAGGAAGGCACUGAGAACAAAAGGAAACUCUCUUGAAUGGUGGGAUCGAGGCACUGUAGCACAUUUUUUAUGGAGGGGAAGGAGGCUUUUCACCUGGAAACCUUUCAAAUCACGCCCUAUAAGUAGCUCACGAGUCUCUCUACUCAUACUGAUCUCUUCAUCUGCUGAGUUGAACAGUGUCCCCCAAAUUCAUGGCCACCCGGGACCUGUGAAUGUGACCUUAUUUGGAAAUAGGGUCAUUGCAGAUAUACUCAAAUUAAGACGAGGCCAUAUUGGAUUAGGGGGAGCCCUAAAUUCAAUAUGACUGGAGUCUUUAUAAGAAGAGGAAAAUUUGGCCACAGAGAUAUAGACCUACGGGGUAUCAGGCCCUGUGAAGACAGAGUCAGAGAUUGGAACGAGGUGUCAAGUCAAGGAUCAACAAGGAUUGCUGACAACCAGCACAAGAUGGAAGAGGCAAGGAAGGGCUCUUCCUUAGAGACUUCAGAAGGAACAGGCCCUGCCAACACCUUGACUGUGGACUUCUAGCCUCCAGAACUUUGAGGGAAUAAAUUUCUGUUGUUUCAA